UAGGGAAUCUUCCACAAUGGGCGCAAGCCUGAUGGAGCAACACCGCGUGAGUGAAGAAGGGUUUCGGCUCGUAAAGCUCUGUUGUUAAAGAAGAACACGUAUGAGAGUAACUGUUCAUACGUUGACGGUAUUUAACCAGAAAGUCACGGCUAACUACGUGCCAGCAGCCGCGGUAAUACGUAGGUGGCAAGCGUUAUCCGGAUUUAUUGGGCGUAAAGAGAGUGCAGGCGGUUUUCUAAGUCUGAUGUGAAAGCCUUCGGCUUAACCGGAGAAGUGCAUCGGAAACUGGAUAACUUGAGUGCAGAAGAGGGUAGUGGAACUCCAUGUGUAGCGGUGGAAUGCGUAGAUAUAUGGAAGAACACCAGUGGCGAAGGCGGCUACCUGGUCUGCAACUGACGCUGAGACUCGAAAGCAUGGGUAGCGAACAGGAUUAGAUACCCUGGUAGUCCAUGCCGUAACGAUGAGUGCUAGGUGUUGGAGGGUUUCCGCCCUUCAGUGCCGGAGCUAACGCAUUAAGCACUCCGCCUGGGGAGUACGACCGCAAGGUUG
rnacentral:rRNA from 1 species